rnacentral:rRNA from 1 species
AUGGCUACUGGUUCCAGUGUUACUGAUCGUGUUACUAUAGUUACAAAAUGUGUUACUAAGCCGUGCGGUAAAGAACCACCUCCAGCAUGGUUCGUGCGGGAGGCCCGUGCCUCCAGCACCAUCGCGGUCGCCGUCCGGACGCGGCAGCAGGGCAUACCAGGGCACCCUUGGCCCGGCCAGGCUCAAAUCGGGCCCACUAAGCCCCGCCGGCCACGCUGCAGCAGGGCGGCAAAAGCGCCGCUAGCACCCCACCACCCAACGUCGCUCCCUCGCCUCCCGAAAGUCGCGCCGCAGAUCCGUCCCACCAUCGGCCCACCCAGACCCAGAUGGGGCCCAAAGAACGUAGAUCUGGGCCGAGCGGGCGCCGCCAAGCUGCGCCGCGCGCCAUCCUGCCGCCAACGACGCCGCCGCCGUCCAGCCGAUCUCCCAUGCUGCGCCAGGAUGCCCUGCCGGACCACCGCCGCCGAGGAACACCCCUCGAGCCGCGCCGGAGAGCACCCGAGAUGGGAAAGGCCGCCGCCGCCGCCAGCGCCGCCCGGGCCAGGCCCAGUGGCGGGCGCCGAUGAUGGCGGCGGGGAGGGAGGAGUGAGGGGGAGCUGGGGGAGAGGGACCGGGGCGCGGCCGGCCGCCCGCGGGGGCGAUGCGGGCGCGAGAGGGUUGCAGUUUUCUUUCGAAUGGAGCCUCCUGCUCUGGUCGCCGCUGCCUGCCGCCUACAUCCACGCUCUCAUCGCCACGGCCGCACCACCACCUCGCCGACUAAAUCCAUCGGGCCACCCACCGCUCGGAGCGCCGCCGCCCAUCGCCGGGCGUGUCCUCGACCUACAGCCUGAUAGAUGCUGGGCACGCGCCCGUCUGUCCCACCUCCGUCGGGUCGGGUCCAAGCUCACCACGGGAGCCCUCGGCGGGCCGUCCUCAGAUUCAUCGGCCGCGGGGAUCCUCUGUUCUCUUCCUCCCCCGCUCACCCCAUGGUUGGCUAUCUCAAAGUUAGAUUGGAGUUCAGAUGACCGGAUCAACCGAUGCACCGUUUUCUUCCUAUAUGUUGGCAUGGCAGCAAUGAAACAAUUACUCUCUCCAAAAAAUUUGGUAAAUGAAUCAUGCUCUCCAACCUUCAGCACCGUGGUGAGCUUCUUCUGCGAAGCUUGUUCAGGAAGUGGGAGCAGCGGCGACAGCGGCGACAGUGGCAACACCUUCGUAACCAGCUUCUGCCAUUUUCUCAUCAUGUACAUGGUUCGACUUCUGGGACAGCAGGGAGCAGAGGGGGAAGGGGAAGUGCCACCGCAGACAGAGGCAGAGAAAGGCGACGGGGAGCAGGGCGUAUCCAAGAUGAGUAAUCCAUGUGAUUCAGAUGGAACCCAGAAGGAAAGAUCUUAUUCUUCCGAGGAAUUGUCAGUUGUACAGAUGAAGAAGUCGAAUGUAAAACGGCAUGCUACUCUGAUAAUACAUAAGGAUUAUGCGCUCGAGCACUUUCCAUGUGAAGAUACAACUGCCGUACUCCAGCUGCCUGGGAAGAACAAGGAUUGGAAAUGCACAUUCCGCAUCAGGCCAUCUGGCACAUCUGAUGCAGGUCGGCGCAACCUCUUUUUGUACAACUUUGCCUGUGACAACCAUAUUAGAGAGGGUGAUAUCUGCCUCUUUCAACCAAUGACAAAUGUGAAGCAGAGAAGGUUCAUAGUGACAGUCCAUGUCCUUGACAAAGUGAAUAUUGAUCACUCCCCUGGUAGAAGAACUGACAUUGGCUCAAAUCAUGGAAGGAAAAGGGCCAAGAUGGGCGCCGUUAAGGACAAACCACACACCGACGAGCAUGAAGUCUCUGAGGAUUCCGAGGGAGCUUUUGGGCGUCUCUUCAUGCUGUCAGACAAAGCUUGUCCAACACCAGCACAGCGGAAGAAAUUGUUAAAGAAAGUUAAGAAGAUUAAGUUCAAACCACCCUUUUAUGUUGCUAUCAUGAGCAAGAGCACUGUCUGUCAGCGUGGCAGCCAAAACAAUCCCAUGCUACGCUUUGGCUCGCAGUACGCAACCAGGUAUCUUGUUGAGAAGUUUGCUGGUGGCCAUCCUUGUGGAAAACGUAGAGGAGUCGAGUUGGUGCUUCUGCGGGAGGGCAAGAGUAGGUCAUGGUGUACCAAGCUGCGGCAUAGCUCGCGAGGCUCGAGGGUUCUCAAAGGAUGGCCAUCUUUCGCCCGCGACAACAAGCUGCGGGAGGGGGACCUCUGCCUCUUCAAGCUGCUGAAGAGCGAGGAGCUGCUGGUGAUGAUGGUCUACAUCGUUCGCCACUAUUCGCAUGGCACCAAUGAAACAUGUCAAAGCUAUACAAUGAUACUCCUGAAUUCAUGCCAGGACGCCCCCUUCAUAAGUAAGCCCGGAUUUGCAUUCCAUAGAUACGUUCUGCUUUCUGCCCUUCAGCACCACGGAUGCUUCUUCUUCCAAGAAAGAUCAAGCCAGUACUUCUUCUGCCAAGACGUAUCCAAGAUGAGCAACCCUUGCGAAUGCUGUGAGAGGAAGAUAAGGUUCAUCAGAAAAAUAAAUGGAAACUUUAUGCAUAGUUUGGUCUUACCAGACUGGUUUGUUAGUCAACUUGGGGGCAAAAUCUGGAGAACCAUCAAACUGCAAGCCCCUGAUGGUAUCAUAUAUGAUGUUGGAGUUAGUGAGAAUAUGAAUAGAAUUAUCCUCAAGUUUGGGUGGGCAGCAUUUCUUGAUGCAAAUGAAAUCGAAGAAAACUAUUCCUUGAUGUUUCGGUACCUCGGUAAUGCCCUCUUUGAGGUUACGAUAUUUGAUUCCAAUGGGAAGGAGAAAGCCUUGUGCAGUCGCUAUGCUGAUAAUUCGAGCAGUUCUCAAGAUGGCGUUACUCAGUCGUCAGCAGGGGAAGGUUCAGAUUCAGGUGGAAGCCAGAAGGAAAGCUUGUACUGCUACAAAAAAUCAGCAAAGAUGCCUGCAGUAUCUUAUUCUUCUGAGGAAUUCUCAGCAGAAGACAAUUCUGUGGAGUCGGAUGAUCAACAGAUGCUUUCAAAAUAUUGUGUCUUCUCAGGGCGGUGCUAUCUUACAGAAGCACAGAAGGCGAAAGUUCUUGCACUUGUAAAGAAAAUUCGACCCGAAAUCCCAGUGCUUGUUGUACAGAUGAAGAAGAGCAACGUCGAGCAGAGUGGUACUCUGGUACUAUGUAAAGAUUACGCACGCAAGCACUUGCCAUGCGAAGGAACAAAUAUCAUACUCCAGCUGCCUCGAAAAAACAAGGGUUGGAAGUGCAAAUUCCAUAUCAGGCCAUCUGGAACGUCGGACGCUGGUCGCCGCAACCUUUCAUUAGGGAACUUUGUCCCUGACAAUCAUAUUAGAGAAGGCGAUAUCUGCCUCUUUGAACCAAUGACAAUUGUUAAGGAGAAAAGAUUCACAAUGACUGUCCAUCUCCUUCACAAAGCGGGCAUUGAUCAUUCCCCUAGUGCAAGAACUGGUGUUGGCUCAAAUCAUGGAAGGACAAGCACAAAGAUGGCAGGUGCUAUGGAGGAACCACCUACUGAUGGUGAAGAGUAUUCUUGGGAACAUGAAGAGCAUGGAGUCUCUGAUGAUUCUGAGGGAGGUUCCGAACCUCGCUUCAUGCUGGCAGACAAAGCUUCCCUAACUCGAGCACAAGAGAAGAAAGUGUUGGAGAAAGUUGAGGAAAUCGAGUCAGAAGUACCCUUGUAUGUUGCUAUCAUGAGCAAGUCCAAUGUCUAUCGGGGUGGUGGCGGUAACACUCCCACCCUACACUUUGGCUACCAAUACACAGGCAGAUAUCUUGUUCAGAAGUCUGCUUCUGGCCAUCAUCGUGGAAAGAGUAGCCAGGUCAGUUUGGUGCUUCAUAGGGAGGGGAGGAGUGGAUCAUGGCCUACCAAGAUGCAACACAGCAUGCAACACACAACUCAUGCGAUGAGGAUUCUCAAAGGAUGGACGUUUUUCGCCCGCGACAACCGCCUGCGGGAGGGUGACCUCUGUCUCUUCAAGCUGAUAACGAAUAAGGAGCCUCUGACUAUGGUGAUCCACAUCAUUCGCCGCAAGGAAUGUUAG